rnacentral:misc_RNA from 1 species
AAUUCUCAAAACCCCUUCCUUUGCCGGAAAGGGUUUUGGACUUGGAGGCCUUUUGCUGGUUUCACCUUGAAACGAGCUCCUCCUAAAUGGAUUAGUGGGGUCUGCUUUGCUGAUCCUUGACGUGAUAAGAUGCUUCUACGUCUCGGGUUUUGGCACUGUGCCUCUGCUUCUAACCGUCUCAUUGACAAUGAUGGUGUCCCGGUCACCGCCGAUUCCUCGGUGGGAGGCUUGACCCACAAAACGA